ACUGUGUGUGGCAGCCAAGUUCAACUCUACUGGGCAUGCCUGUUUGAGAAUAGUCAGGGGCACCCAAGGUCCCUCUGCUAUUUCUAGAUAACAAGAACAGAAGAGCAGCCUGAUGCCAUACUCUAAACAGGUUUGGAUAAGGAUCUAAGAAGGCUGAUAUCCAUAGAAGAAAUCUGAGGACGAACCUGUAGACUUCAGUUCAUCAUAUUUGCCUGUGAGAUAUUCAAUGUCCAGCCUGAGCCUGAUGUGCCAUUAGAGGUAGAGAAUGUUGUCAGGUGGGAGUCCUUGCUAUGCUACCCAGGUUCAUCUGGAACUCCUGAUCUCAAGCAAUCCUUCAGUCUCAGCCUCCCAAAGCACUAGGAUUACAGGCAAUCACUUCUGAAGAGUCCAGCCUUGGAAUGAUACUAGAAUUCUGGAAGAAGAAUCUUGUCUCAAGGCAUCUGAAAGUUUCAGUGGUGUAUUUUUCUUCUUAACUGUAGAGCUUUGACUUUCUGGAACAAAAGAGGAAGAGGAGUUGUUCAAAGACUGGAACUAACCCUUAACCUAGAAGAGAAACUGGUCAGACAUGGAUGGAUGGAUUUGGUUCAGCCCUGUUCAGACUUGCUACUCAUUGCAUCAAUGUUCCCGUUCAAUCCGUCAGACGCACCCAUGUCCCUUCUGUAGAAAUCAGUGAAUCAUAUUGAAUCCUGAGUAAGCGAUCGUGAGCUUUACCAUUUUAAGCUCUAUCUAUUGCUUCUGUCUCUUACUGCCUUUUCUGUGUUGCCUGCCUGUUUGCUGUCACCCUCACAUCAAUGUCUGUCAAGCAUUUGAAUAGGGAAGUAGGUUGAGAAGGGGAUUUGGAAUGAGGAGUUACUUUGAAAAUAAUUGGGCUAAAAUUAAGGAGACCUUAUUUGGUUCUGGUCCUCAUUGCUUUUAUUAAUCUAAAUAAUAGGCACUCUGAAAGAAAAUGAUAUUUAUUUAGCAUGGGUACUGCAAUGGGAAUACACAUACCGUAGUAAACUAUGUGCUUAUUCAGGAGGGUAAAGAAAGGCAAAGGUUUUUAAAGAAAAAUGAAGAGGAGUACACAAUUAUUUCGAGAUAAUUAUUCCUGGUUACAAGGAUCAAUAAUAAGGAUGGCACCAGUUUGAAGUUAGAUAGGCAGUUGCUGGGCAGAUAUCCUCGCAGAAGUAUUUUUUUGUGUAAGGUUGCAAUGGCCUUUGUGCAAGUUUGUGGUUUUGCAGUCUUUUCUGACAAUUCCUGUUGUCAGGCAUUCGUAAAUGGGAACCCUUUCUUCAUUGCUUUCCCGAGCUCCAUCUGUCAGGAUUUUUAACACAAUUGACUCCAUUUUAAUUCAGACAACUUUCACGUUUUUAACUAGCUCCUUGACCUUGAAUGAAUUCCAUUAUGUUUCUGGAUAUAAUUUAUAAAAUUAUUAAAUUGCAAUAAAUAGUGUUAUUGAGUUUUUAUCAGUCUCAUACUUUAUGAUUUUUAUAUAAAUUGGUUAUUUUUUGGAAAACAGACUUUUCUGAUAUAUACAAUGUACUGUCUAGGCAGAAAAUUAGAUGGGAUAGUACAAUGAUGUGACAGUGUAAUUCCAAAAGAUUAACAGCAUCAAAACAAUUGUUAGGGAAAGAGAAGGAACUAGGGAAGAAGAUACCGACCUGAGGAUAAUAGUGAAUGGCAUGGACCUCCAGACUCAUCAUGUAAAAUUGACAUUGUCAAGGGAAACGGCUUGCAGCUUAGUACUCCCAACUUAGUGCUGCUUAGGUGUAGAAAUUGGUUAUUAUUUUACACUGACAAUGUUUGUUUCUAUGUUUUACUUUAGUUUAUAUCUUUUGCUUCACUUUUUAUUUAUGAAUUUUUUCUUUAUAAUAGAAAAAUGUAAAACCCUAAAGUGAACAAAAAGUAUAAAAUAAUCAUAUUAAUUGCCCAAAAUUGUUUUCACAAACUUUCAAAAUUUUAGUGUUUAUUAUUUUCAUUACUAUAUUGUAUUAUUUUUAUAUGAUGUAUAUAUUAAUUUUUCUAAAAGCAUAUUCCAAGACAAGGACUUGAAUGCAAAUAAUUUGAGAUGAUCAGGGGACAUAAGCAUGGUGGUGGGCCCAUGAAACUAGGGGUGGGUAACUGGAGUUAAUCUCAUGGAGAAACUUCCCACCUGAAGUUCAAGGCAGGUGGAUUUAAGGCUGCUGGGGUGGGUGUUAACCUUCCAGCAUUUCUGGACCAUUGUCAGUGUGUAGUGGGGUACAGCGGAUUUCCAAGAGUGGGGCGGGUGCUAGGGAGCCUGAGCAAAGAAACGAGAACCUUGGGGUUGAGAGUCAGCUGGAGCCCACAGAAGGGCUGGAGGGAUGUAAGUGGGGCACUAACAAUGUCUGCUAUAAUAUACCACCUAAUUUUUUAGGUAAAUCAGUCUUUUACUUGUAAAACUUAAACAUGUUUACCACAAACCAUUUAAAUAUUAGAAAAGUGAAAAUGAUAUAAAUAUUUAAAAAUCAUCUCAAAUUUUACCAUUAAGUAGCCAGUCACCAUUUCCUUUAGGUGAAAACCAUUCCCUAUUGUGUGUAUGUGUGUCGAUUUUUAGUGAAGUCUAUUUUCUACUUUACCUUUUUAUUUCUGUGAUGAUGUUUAUAGCCUUCUUUUGUUUUUUUAAAUCUAUAACUGCCCUGAUUUUUAUUGUUCAUCAUGUUACCUUGGAGUUCUUGAAUUCAAGUUCUUAUUAUUCUCUAAGGUGACAUUGUGAUGAAUUUUCUUAUGCUUUGAAGUAUGUUUUCGUCUAUAUUGGGAUAUUUAUCCUUCUUUUGAAAUUUAUAUUUUUUUCUUAAUUUCUUCUUCUUUCUUGCACAUUUUAUUUUAUUUUACUGUGAUAUGUUUGUAUAUUUGCAUGCUAUUUCCAUUCACAUUGCUCAUAAUUGAGCAGUUCCAUUCAGGCUUUUUUGUUGUUGAUAUCAUGUGAGUACACACAUGAUUCUUCCUAGCAUAGCUGAACCAAGUUUCUUUUGCCCUUCUAGUUACUGUUUGAAAGAUACUUUGUUUUCUAUCCAUUUUAGGUAAAUAUAUAGAAUGGCAAGGGUUGGGCAAGACCUCAGCUGAAGUAGUAAUGCAGUCUUUAUAAUAAUACUGUAGCUCUGCUCUCUCUUUGGAGAUAUUGUUAAAUAUCGUAUACUGGAAGUAAGACCACUUAUUUUUAUGAGUCACAUUUCUAUGGGAGAUAUACUUGGGUUUCAUACCAUAUCCUUAGUUCAGUGCAUUGGUCUUACUUUUGUAGCAUACUAAUAAAUAAUUCAGCUUCUUGGCUUUAGAAUACAGGGAAAAAGGUAGUCUUUCACUUUAUCAUCCCUUAAAACCAAAAAUGCUUAGCCACUGCUAUUUUCCAAGCUACAUUUUCAGAUGGCAGAAUACCCAAGAGUCUACUAUGAUCGUUACUUAUAAUAAAAUGAGAUUAAGAUAUAUGAGAUCUUAUAUAUCUAUAUAUAGUGAUAAUAUGAGAUUAUAGUUAUAUGCCAUUGAUAACAGUGCCAACAAUUAUGAGUGAACCAGUUCUUUAAAAGCAAAACAAACAAAACAAAACUUCAUGACAGGGCAAAAGAUUUUGCUAUACAUCCAUUUCAAGGCUUUGCCUGUGUUUCUGGAAUUCUGAUUUAGAAUUGAUCUUUAGUUAGUAUCCAGCCCCACUCUUGAGUGGUACUAAUAAAUUAUAUAACUGUAAUUUUAAAAACCUCUUACAAUACACAGAAUUUACAUAUUGGAGCAGAGGUUAAACAAUCUGGACAUUAUGAUAAUUUCCAGUUUAUUUUUAAAAAUGAUUCUAAAUAGGUAUAUUAUGAUCUAAAAUAUGUAACUUAAAAACAGUACAAUUUAAGGUGAGUUAAGGUGAGCCUUAACAGUACUAACAAAGUAGAAAAAAAAUAAGUAAACUAAAGGCAUCUGGAUCAGUCAGAACCCAUAAAAGAAAAAAAAAAUCAUUGAAUAGAGUUUAAUAAAAAGACAAGGGAUCUAACAAGAGAUCAUGAAGCACCCUUCCUCAGGCACUAGGAACAGCUAGAUGGUUUUAACAGCUCUAAAUUAAAAGAGGAAAGGAGAAAGGUUUAUGGAACAAAGUAAGAGCCUUGGCCUUUUGAAGGGGCUAUCCCUUCCAUGGAGGAAUACAUUCACAGCCAACACUUGAACUGGGAGGGAGGGAAUGAGCAGAAAAAAACUUUGAUCCUUUUAGCCUCCUACUCUACUAUCUCCUAGCAGUGCUUCCCAUUGGACAAACCCGACAGAAACAAGAGGGCAAGGAAGACUUGGGGCUGGGUAAAGUAGAAGUCAACCUUUUACAGCAUAACAAGGCACAGUACAGAAGCGAAUGGAUCUGGAGGAGCAAAUGGAGACCAGCCAGUCCAGCAGCUUCGUCAUUUUAUUUUUAAAGAUCAAAUUAUUUUUCCAGCUAUGGAGGCAAAGUGCAGGAAUGAGCUCAUCAUAGAAAUAAAAAGCAUAAUUUCCUGUAUUUGCAUAAACUUACAAAAGUCAGUUAUGAAACCUUUGUUAAAAAAUAGUUGUUUUAUAUAUAUUACAAAUAUAUAAGCACCCACACGCAGAAUUGUUCCUACUGUUUUCAUAGCUUUUAUUGAGUCCUACAUGCAAAGGGCCUUUCUAAGGGCUUUACAUGAAUUUACUCCUAUAAUGUUUAGUAGUAGGUACUAUUAUCCUCUCCAUUUUGCAGUUAAGUGAACUAAAGCUUGGAAAGGUUGGACUGGGUUAAUAAUAAGAAGUGGCAGAGCUGGGAUUCUAAUCCAGGCAUCUGGCUCCAGAGCACUUACCCCAAGCAAGUACUAUCCUUACAGUAAUUCUAUGCUAUUAGCACUCAGAUGCUGUCAAUUGCUUAAUUUUGGAGUCUCAUGAAUUUUUAGUGUCAUUUUUUAUUAUACUUGAGUAAUAAUUACCCAAUUGGCAAACUAAGUUGGGCUGAAAGAGGUGACCCACUUCCCAAAUUCUGCACAACAUCUAAGAAUCAUAUUCUGUGUUGGAAUAUAGCCAACUCUCUCUUUACUUGUGACUGGGCCAGUCACAUCUCUCUAACCUCAUUAGCAUCUUGCUGAUUCACUUACCAGAUCAGAUGUAACUCAUGUUUUGUAAGCUCUAAAACCAUCCUUCUGAAAUACUGCACAGCUUCUUAAUUUAACUAUGGCACUAUGAAAAUAUUUUGCAUCAGAUAUAAUUCUAACAGAAGUUUGUGGCACCUCUUUCAGGGGGAAAAAUCUAAGUUUCCUUUUAUGCAACAGAAUAAAAAGUAUUUAGAUUCUAUAAGAUAAUUAUUUCUGUACAAUUUAAGAGUAAAACUAGGAACUAAAUACAAUCUCAUGGAAUUUAUUUCUCUUAAUUGAAGAUAAUUUGGGAAAAUACUUCCCCCGCCCCGAUUAGAUUAGCGAAGCAGAACUAUUCUGGAUUUUUUUUUUUUUAAAUUUGUAGAGACAGUCUCUCUAUGUUGCCUGGGCUGGUCUCAAACUCCUGGGCUCAUGCGACCCUCCCACCUCAGGCUCUCAAAGUGCUGAAAUUAUAGGCGUCAGCCACCAGGCCUUGCCCAUUCUGGACUUCAAUCUACCUAACAAUAAUUUUAUCGUAACAAUUUAAUAUCUAAAAUAGGAAUAACCCAAGAAAUUUUACUUUAAAAAGUAAACAAUAUAUAAAUUUAAAAAUAUGGGACUUAACAUCUAUUACCAUUCUUAGCUUAAUUUAGGUUAAAUUGAUAUCCUAUAGUUUCUAAGACAGAUCAGAAGAGAUACCAAGAAUAAUCAAUGUUUUUCUUAACUGCUGCCCCUUUUCACGAUUGAAGUGAAUGCAUAUUGCUAUGGUUAUUGACGUGGGUAAGGGAAGGUAAAGAUUAUCUUGGGUCCCUUGCUUCAGGGCCACUGUACUGUUGGCCUAGGGCAGUGAAUCAGAAAGGCGAUUAAGAAAAAUGAAUGUGUGUGCCUUCAUUUUGCCAAAAAGAUUUAAGAUUCAGAUAAAUUCAAUCAACCCAUAAUUCCCACCACCACUUAGACAAGGUAUUUCAUAUCCUCACUUAUAAAAAAGCUUGUCACUGUCCUUGUGUCACUUCUUUCAACUCUGAGUUUCUUUAGAUAUGGUUUUUAACCAUAUUUCUUAGAAACACUAGUGCUUAGGAGGGGUAAGGUACAGUGUUGCAGGGCAUAAUUGCUCUGGGCCCAGUGACAUUCUAAAGACAGCCUUACCUACCUCAGAAAGCUGGUUAGUAAAGAGAUGCAGGAGCAUGGACACUCCAGGUAUACUUUCACUUAACAAUGUGUACCUUUCACUUAAUAACUUGUAUGACUUUCUGCAACCUAUUAGACUUCAGUUUACUUAUUUGUAAAAUGGGCACUAUGAUAAUAGUAUCUAACAGAUGAUGUUUUGAACAUUACAUUAUUAUGAAACAUGUAUAUAUGCAUGUAGGCAUGUAGGUAUGUAUCACUCUAGCUACAGAAAAAGACUCACACGUAAGCACUUUAUAAAUGUUAGUUAAUAUUGCCUCUGAUUUGGGGGCUAAAAUUCCGAUUCAAAUAUAUUUGGGUAGGAACUUUCAUCAAGGGUCUAAUAUAAUUAAAUUUCUAUGUUUUCUUAAAUAACCAAGAAUACGUUUGAAGUUACAGCAGAAAUUGCAUAAUUUUGCAAUUUGUAACAUUGGAUUGAGCAGUAAAUUAGUCAAAGUUGCACUAUGUGUCUCUUAUCUCCUCUGCUUUCUGUAAUGAGUAAAUCUUACUAUUUUUGAAUAACGAGAGUGCAUCUACUAUUCUGCUGCUAUCUGAAAAAAAUCACGUUUUAGACUUCAAUACUGAAAAUAAAUUUAAAUACUAAAUAAAUUAUCCUGUUUGCUAUUUAACAAAGCACUUGAUCACCAAGUCAUUUUUCCCUUUUAUAAAAUGGAGAAAGUAUGUGAAAAAUGAUUAUCUGAAUACAAAUGAAACCCCAAUAUAAGUUUGUACUGUCAUCAUUUGUCAGGUGGUCAGACAAAAUGCUUUAUAAUGGUACUUGGAUUAUCUAAUUUGAUUAUAUAAAUAUCAAUAUAUUUAGAGUAACAAUUUGCAUAGUCAAAACUGCAGGAUUGUCAUUGGUUGUAAAAGCAGAUUCAAAAUUAUAAUUUUUAAAAUAAUCACAAAUAGAAAACUCGGAAGUAACUGUAUAAUAAACUUCUGUUUUCCUGAGCCAUUUGAGAACAAGUUACCAACCUGCUACCCCAUUACCCUAGGAUAGUAUGGGAUGUAUUUCUUACCAACAAGGAUAUUUUUCUAAACAGCCACACUACGAUCAUUAAAAUCAAGAAAUUACAAAAAAAGGUAAUAAAUUAUCACAAAUACAUCAGUACCAUUUACUCCUCAGAACUCCAUUUAAAUUUCACCAAUUGUGCCAAUAAUGACCCUUCUAACAAAAAGAUCCAGCUUAGAAUCACAUUAUACGUUUGUCAGGUUUCUUUAGUUUCCUUCGAUGAUAACAGCCUCCUCAGUCUUUCUUUGACUAUCAUGACCUUGGCAUUUUUGUAAUAUAAAGGCCAGCUGUUUUGUAGAAUGUUUUCAAUUUGCAUUUGUCCAAUGUUCCUUCAUAAUUAGAUUUGAGCUGUGCAUCUUUGGCAGGAAUAUCACAGGAGUGAUGCUGUGUUGUUGAUCCUCAGGUAUCACAUAAUUUUGAUUAAUUCCAUUACUAAAGCUCACUUUGAUCACUGAAAUAAGGGAGAGUCUGCAGAACUCUUCCACUGUAAAGUUAGUUUUCCCUUUUGUAACCAAUUUUGUGGCUGGUACAUUGAAACUAUGUUUCUAUCCCAUUCUUUAUCAACUUUCAAUUUAUUUAUUUUUCUGUAUCUGAAUGGAUUUCCUAUAGUGUUCAGUGGGUUAUAGUUCUUCACUAUCAUCAUUAUUUAUUUGUAUGUUUAUAUUGUCCUUGAUUGGGCCAUGCAGAGACAACCAUCUCUAUGGACGCCUCCUCCCCCUCCUUAGGCUCUGACACCUCAUGCCAGGCUGCCCACCUAAACCUACCAGAUGCCCCUCAACCCACCAGGGCUCAGGCACCCUGUACUAGGCCACUCCACCUCCCCCAGGCUGCAGGAAUGCCGACCUCGCUCUGUUCCACCAAAUGGCUUUAGGACUAAAUUAUUCAGAAAGAAGAAGCAGGAGAAGGGGAAGGGAAAAGGGAAAGGAGAAAUGAAAAAAGAAGAGAAAAAAAGCCCAAAUUACAAUGUUACAAUAAAUUUAUAGUUACAAAAUUCUGCAUCUUAGAAUUAAUUUUCUCUUAUAUUUUCUCAAUUACUUAUAAGGAAACCAUCAAGACAAUCUUAGGCAAUUCAUACCUCUAUAUGAGCAUACUGGUCAGAAAUUGCUUUCAAAAUUCUUUUUAAUAAAUUUUAAUCCUUGCCUAUGAGUGCUUCCUGAGUCUGUAGCAAAGAACAUUGAGGGAGGAUGUAGUCAUGCUAAGGAGAGAAAACUAAUGAUGGAUUUCUGAAAGGAUUCUUUCAGAAGCUUUACAAGUAUGCAAUUUAAAAUGUCUUUUCCACUAAAGAUAAAAUAAUAGGGCAUGGAAUAAAUCAAAGUUCUUUUUGAUUAGGAGGAAAAACAUUUCCUUUUAAGGUUAUAAAACUGUUAUGGUGAAACUUACUUGGGACCGCUGUAUUUUCUGCUCUUCAGAUGUAAACUUUAACCCUAAUCUGACUUCAGUGAAGUAUAUACUGUUGAAGAAACCUGUCUGCACACUUUUUGAAAAUGUCCAGACUGGAGGGAGCCCGACCAAAUGAACUCGGCCUUCUUAAGCCUCCCCCUAACCCGAAUGAUCUGUAGUGCUGUCUGGCAUUCAGACACUUGUACAGCCUUGUGGUAUCUCUUCUGCUGCUAUCUUAUAUUAAUUUUCAUGCUUGAAAACAGUGUAUGUUUCUGCUUUGCUUCAUUAACUAGACUGUAAACAAUUUGGUUAUACACACCAUCCAUUUAAUGAUCAUUUUGUUGUUUUCUUCUGGAUAUCAUCCAAAACAACAGUAGAUGUGUAAUUGUAAAGUGAAUAAACAAAUGAAUGAAUGAAUCAA